rnacentral:tRNA from 1 species
GGUUCCGUAGCUCAAUUGGCAGCAGCGGUGAGUUGUUAACUCAAGGGUUGCAGGUUCAAGCCCUGCCGGGACCGCCA